CACAGCGGCAGGGAAUGGCCAGGUUAAAUCGGGGGGGCAUCCUGAGGUUUAGUGUGGACCAGGCAGUUGGUAUGUUGGUAUGUUUGAGCCCUUCGGUGGCUCAGAGCCUGGGGUUGUAGCGGUGUCUUGGUACACCCUACACUGGAACUUGUGGGUAGCGGUGUCUUGGUACACCCCUACAAUUGAUCUGGUGGGUAGCGGUGUCUUGGUACACCCCUACAAUCGAUAUGGUGGGUAGCGGUGUCUCGGAACACCCCUUCAAUUUAACCUGGUGGAAAUGUGGUCAAAUUGGACGGCCAGUUUCUGUGUUAAUGUUAUUUAGAUUGUUACCUAUUAUUAUUGUGGGGUCAUUGCCAGGGGUAUGUUAUGUAUGUGGGGCAAUGUUUACUUUAAUAAGAU